GGAGGUGUGGCAGAGUGGUUGAAUGCACCGGUCUUGAGGCAUCGAGCCCACCACGGGAAACCAUGGUGGUGACAGGAAUCAAAUUCGGCGAAGCCCCUGGGCUAUAGUCCCGAGGUAAUGCCGAGCCAAGCUGGAGCAAUCCAGAAGGUGUAGAGAUCAGACGGUUCCCACCUAAGGCCCCAGCGGGCUAGGGUGAAGGCAUGAUCCAGACUCCAAAGACCCAAAGGGUUGGUGGCGAAAGCCAUAGUGGGUACGGAAAACCGGCAGGGGUUCACGCCCCUCGUGAGUUCGAAUCUCACCGCCUCCGCCA
rnacentral:tRNA from 2 species